GGAUCCAGACUUUGAUUCUGGCUCAGGACGAACGCUGGCGGCGUGCCUAACACAUGCAAGUCGAACGGAACUGUUUUGAAAGAUUUCUUCGGAAUGAAUUUGAUUUAGUUUAGUGGCGGACGGGUGAGUAACGCGUGAGUAACCUGCCUUCAAGAGGGGGAUAACAUUCUGAAAAGAAUGCUAAUACCGCAUGACAUAUCGGAAUCACAUGAUUUUGAUAUCAAAGAUUUUAUCGCUUGAAGAUGGACUCGCGUCCGAUUAGUUAGUUGGUGAGGUAACGGCUCACCAAGACCGCGAUCGGUAGCCGGACUGAGAGGUUGAACGGCCACAUUGGGACUGAGACACGGCCCAGACUCCUACGGGAGGCAGCAGUGGGGGAUAUUGCGCAAUGGGGGCAACCCUGACGCAGCAACGCCGCGUGAAGGAUGAAGGUUUUCGGAUUGUAAACUUCUUUUAUUAAGGACGAAACUUGACGGUACUUAAUGAAUAAGCUCCGGCUAACUACGUGCCAGCAGCCGCGGUAAUACGUAGGGAGCAAGCGUUGUCCGGAUUUACUGGGUGUAAAGGGUGCGUAGGCGGCUUUGCAAGUCAGAUGUGAAAUCUAUGGGCUCAACCCAUAAACUGCAUUUGAAACUGUAGAGCUUGAGUGAAGUAGAGGCAGGCGGAAUUCCCCGUGUAGCGGUGAAAUGCGUAGAGAUGGGGAGGAACACCAGUGGCGAAGGCGGCCUGCUGGGCUUUAACUGACGCUGAGGCACGAAAGCGUGGGUAGCAAACAGGAUUAGAUACCCUGGUAGUCCACGCUGUAAACGAUGAUUACUAGGUGUGGGGGGUCUGACCCCUUCCGUGCCGGAGUUAACACAAUAAGUAAUCCACCUGGGGAGUACGGCCGCAAGGUUGCAACUCAAAUGAAUUGACGG
rnacentral:rRNA from 1 species